AUAGGGGUCUAAAUCUUAAAUAGCAAGUCAAUUAAAAUUAAGGCAAAAGAAAUUAAUUAGCAAAAACUAGUCAUUAAUUAGGAAUAGGGUUAGAAUGAAAAGCUACAGCCAUUGCAGGUUGAGACAAUAUGAUCAGCACAAUUGCAUACUGAAAUGCUGUGACUUGUGAUUUCUUAAGAAAUAUUCUGUAACUCAUGACAAUAGAUAUGAUUGAAAGGCACUAUUUAAUACAUAUAUAGAUACAAAUGUAAGGUAAUUUAAACUUGUUAGGCUGAAGAAUAGGUUUGAAAGUCACUAUAUAAUAUAUAGGCCUAAGAGUCAGUACAACCAUUUACCUCAAAAUCAAUGCAAACAAAAGAAAGGAAAAAUAGAAAUAUAAAGGAAAACAGGACUGAACCACAAAUUAGGAGAAAGAGAAAAGAACAAAGACAAGCAAAAAAAAAAAAACUCUCUUUAAUGAAUAGCACAAAAUUGUCAAUCACAAGCCCAGUAUGCUUAUUCUAUAAUGAUAUUAAUGAAUUCUUGCCAUGUUUAAAAAAAUUCUGAACAAAUCAUUUUCUAACUUGAGAGAAUACUGAACAUCGCUUACCUACUGAAUUACAUAUGGUGAGGUGGGAUUCUUCCAUUUGAGAAAGAUAAGUCUGUCUGGUAGUAGUGUGGUACAGACUAUUGCGAUUUUUUUAUUCAUAUGCACUUUAAUGCCAUCCUGGAUUAUGUCAGAUAUCACCAUUGAUGGAUUGUGAGUGGGUGUGACACCAAGGCUGUCUGAGAAGUAUAUAAAGGUUUUUGUCCAAAAUGAUGUUAAUUUAGUACAUUUCCAAAACAUGUGGCCUAGUGAUGCUGGAGUUAGAUGGUAGCGCUCACAGGUACAUCUUGCCCUGGGUAUAUUAAUUAAUAGGUACAUGAAUUGAUUUUUAGAUGAACACAAUCAAAUCAGUGCAUGUAACUGAAUACAUGACACACUCCAUGAGGCUGAUACACAUAUAUUCUUCGGAACAAUCUGAUCAGAUUGAUAUUUGUGUGCUAGUAUCUCAAUUAUUUUAAUAUUAAUUUUAAUUACUUUAAGUUGACUAAUUUAUAGUAAAAUACUAAUUCAGAUUUUGAUGACAUUUACAUUAUUUUAAAUUUAUUUAGCAUGGCAAUCACCUUUUUUAAUGAAAAUAUUUAUUUAGAUGACACCGUUAUCUGAAAGACCGUAUAUACGUGCUAAAAAAUAGGUGUUAUCCGAGUAUUGCCAUUGAUUACAUUCUCUCCUUUGGUGCCCGAGUACCUCACACGUUUCUCACUCACCUUCACGUAACGGGAGCCUUGAGAAGUGGCGCCCGUGGCCGCAUGCACAGUAGACAAGGUGCGUUAUCUUCGAACGCGCGACCAUUUCAUUGUUUUUAUUAAGAAAUCACGUAUUUGUAUUCAAAACGUCAAACUACACCACAAUGCAUCUUCAGAAUAUUGAAGAAGUUAAAUCAGCCGUAUCUAUCCCAUUGACUAUUCUCUGUAGGCACCCCUAAUCGUUAAAGCACCAUUUUAAUCUUUAGAGGAUAUUCAAUUUGAAUGUAAAACUGAAAGUUUAUCAUUUUAUUUAUUAUCAUGGGUUAACCUACUAUAAAGAAGAAUUAAAUGUUUGGGAUUUCUGUGUUGCAUAUUUUAUUUCCAUUUUCCACCUUUCAUCUGAACAUUUGACAGGCUUUGUAGAUUUAUGAAUGACGUUUAUCUAAUUAUCUAAUUAUUAUUUCCUUCGUUUAUUUUAGGAACACUUAAAACUGCAUGUCCUCUUAAAAACAAAGGUGCUAAAGUGGUUCUUCUGAGCGAUAUCAUAUGGGAACCUUUUUUGGUUGCCUACAUAAGUGAAAAAUAAAUAACAGAAAAAAGUGAAAAACCGAUGGGUUUUUAAUUCAAAAAAGAUUCUUGCCGCACGCAAUAACACAAGCCAUGUUCAGGUUUUCUUUAUUAGCAUCCUCCUAGUUUUUGGUUUUGUCCACGUAUAAGGAACUUUCUCAAAGUCCAAAUACCCAAUUUCAUAUUAACAAAAUAGAAUGAUGCAUUGUCAAGCAAUUAAUAUACGGGGGACCACACAACCCUAUAAAGUGCCAUUAUUUUUAAGAGUGUAUAAUUAUAAUAUAUUUAUAUUGAGUCUUUCCAUCUUGUUCAAAGUGCUUUUCACGGACAUUGGGAGUUUUUAAAGAUAAAAUAGGCCUGACCCGAGUACACGAGAAGUAUUGAGAAGUGUAUGACUUAUAUUUUAAAAAUGACAACAAGUUUAACUUUAUCCCUUGCAUUUAAUCUUAGUUCAACAUGUAAUAUCUUAAUCUUGUAAAACGCGAACGUUAUCUAGAUUUUACCUUUCGAGUACGGGGUAGCCAUUUAAAACUAUAGUGUAAUUUAAAAAUCAGUCACAUGUCGAUCAAAAUGCAUUCAUAUCACAUAAAACGUUUCAAAUGAAAUCAGCCUAAGUUUUAAUGAUUGUUUUAUAUAUCGAUAAUAAACGAGGAUCCUUCGUUAGCACCGGGCACAAUGUAAACUUUCCCAGGAUGCACUCGACGCUAAAACUGACCGCAGUCUAAAGUUUAAACUGACAAAUCGGGCUUAUCAAACGAGAUGGACAGGGUUACUCCAAUUUUGUGAAGUGUAGCGGCACUUGACCGCUGCCUUACCUUCUAAAAGACGUGAAGCUGCAAUCGUACUUUAAAUUAAUGAAGAAAACCACCACUCUGUCUAUUGUUACAUCAGGGCACAUCAAAUAAGUAAACAUUACACGGCAAACUAAGCAGAAGUGAUGCUGAUUCGUACUGUAGAUGUGUACAAUGGUGUGUCAUCUCUGAUUUGGACCAACAAGACCAACUGGGCACAGAGGUAAUGAGCCCUGAGCUUAUCAUCAUCGCCCGCACUGCCAGGCCAUGUUAUAAACCUAAGUCCCAACUAUUUGCAAAUAUGACACACUGUGAAGCCAAUAGACCUACAAUUGUACAUAUGCAGCUCAAAAUCAGCAGCUGUUAAGGCAUUCACGUGUGCUGGUGCAACAAAGCUACCUGGUUUUCUACGCCUAAACAGAUCGCUGUACAGGUAGUCUCUUUUUCACGCACAACCUUCACUGGAUGAACCGCAAACACUAAACUAUAAACGGGCUGCCUUACGCCGUCUGCGCCUUCUUGUUGAAAUAAACCGCUUCAGAAAACGGAUGGACUCAUGUAGUCCGACCGCGCGGCGUGAUACAAGUCUCGCGAGAGGCCGAACCUCACGUGUGCGCCAUCGAAGGGACGUCGUUACGACUCGCACUCACACACAGACGCACGUAGGACCAGUUUUGAAUCGCCAACUAACCCGCCACCCGCCAUUAUCAAGCUCGUAUAAACGCUGGGAGAACAUGAAAACCCCACACGGAAAAGUGCACAGGACACCUAUCUGUGGGGCAGCCAACUACAAUGAAAGAGGCAGGAGGGGUUGAUUCUCUUCUCUGCGUUGACCAAAUGAAGAAGAAAAGAUCCAGUGACCUUACUACAUUAAUGAAAAGCAUUAAGAUCACAUUUUUUCAUGCUGUCUUCCUCUGAUGUCCUUUUCAGUUCUAUAAGGAAUAUAGCUGCCACACAACUGGUCUCAAGUGUACCAUCUAAAAAAGUCAACUCAAGAAGAAAAUAGCGCUACAUAAGAAGUAGCAUUGUGUGAAAGUAAGAUUUUUGAUGGUUAUGUAAGCUCUGAAUAUGCAACUGGAUGAACAGGUAGAUCCCGACUUCAGUAGAUUUAUAUAAUAUGGAGGACCAAAGUGAAGUAUCUCUGUAAAGUGCAGCAGCUACUACAAUGAGAGGAACACCUUCCAUGAUGCUAAAAAAAAAAA